CCUACGGGUGGCAGCAGUGGGGAAUAUUGCACAAUGGGGGAAACCCUGAUGCAGCGAAGCCGCGUGAGUGAAGACGUAUUUAGGUAUGUAAAGCUCUAUCAGCCGGGAAGAAAAUGACGGUACCUGAUUAAGCAGCACCGGAUAACUACGUGCAAGCAGCCGCUGUAAUACGCAGGGAGCAAGCGUUAUCCGGAUUUACUGGGUGUAAAGGGAGCGUAGUCGGCAGCACAAGUCUGGAGUGAAAUGCCGGGGCUGAACCCCGUAACUGCGUUUGAAACUGUGCAGCUAGAGUGCAGGAGAGGUAAGUGGAAUUCGUGGUGUAGCGGUGAAAUGCGUAGAUAUUAGGAGGAACACCAGUUGCGAAGGCAGCUUACUGGCGUGUAACUGACGUUGAGGCUCGAAAGCGGGGGGAGCGAACAGGAUUAGAUACCCGAGUAGUC
rnacentral:rRNA from 1 species